rnacentral:rRNA from 1 species
GACGAACGCUGGCGGCGCGCUUAACACAUGCAAGUCGAGCGAUGAAAUUUCGACAGAUCCCUUCGGGGUGAAGAUGAAAUGGAUUAGCGGCGGACGGGUGAGUAACACGUGAGUAACCUGCCUUUGACAUUGGGAUAGCCUCGGGAAACUGGGAUUAAUACCAAAUGACACUAACUGAUCACAUGAUCAAUUAGUCAAAGAAAUUCGGUCAAAGAUGGACUCGCGGCUGAUUAGCUAGUUGGUGAGGUAACGGCCCACCAAGGCGACGAUCAGUAGCCGGGCUGAGAGGGUGAUCGGCCACAUUGGAACUGAGACACGGUCCAAACUCCUACGGGAGGCAGCAGUGGGGAAUAUUGCACAAUGGGGGAAACCCUGAUGCAGCGACGCCGCGUGAGCGAAGAAGGCCUUCGGGUCGUAAAGCUCUUUUAUGAGGGAAGAUAAUGACGGUACCUCAAGAAAAAGCCCCGGCUAACUACGUG